CCUUCUACGGAAUAUGAAUGUUUGUUUCGCCCUAAAAUAAGUGUUACUGCUAAGAAAAAUAUAUCUGUUGAAAACUACUAUACUCGCAUGGUAAAUUAACGCCCUGAAAUGGCAGCUGUUACCAUAAUAUUUUACUGAUUAAGCUUCUAUCCAAAACCGUUCACAACAAAGAUUGUUUUCUGGUAACAGCAAAUUGUAAAUUAAGAAGAUCUGCGUGCUGAAAGGAACAUAAUCGCUUCCAGUAACAUUUAUGGGAAAACGAUGAUUACUGAAAACUUUCUCAAAUGUAUAACCGACGCAAAAGUUUUGCUGUAUCGAAACAACAGGCAUAUUUUGUGACCAUGCGUCGAACGACAAAGCCUUAACCGGUAUUCCAGUAGAUAUAAUGUUCAGCAAGUGGAACCUAUCUGAAUUCUAAGAUUUUGUUUGUGAAGUUUACUUAUCAAUAUA